rnacentral:rRNA from 1 species
UACGUAGGGACCGAGCGUUGUCCGGAAUCAUUGGGCGUAAAGAGCGUGUAGGCGGCCACUUAAGUCCUGCGUGAAAUCUUGCGGCUCAACCGCAAGCGGUCGUGGGAAACUGGGUGGCUAGAGUGCGGGAGAGGAGAGUGGAAUUCCUGGUGUAGCGGUGGAAUGCGCAGAUAUCAGGAGGAACACCGAUGGCGAAGGCAGCUCGCUGGGACGGUACUGACGCUGAGGCGCGAAAGCGUGGGGAGCAAACAGG